rnacentral:rRNA from 1 species
AAUAGAGAAAAUUAUUAAUUAUAUUUGAAUUUUAUAUGUUAACAAAAAAAGUUUAUUCUAAGUAAUUUUCAAGAACAGUGAAGACUUAUUAUAGAGAAUUAGUAUUGUAAAAGAAUUUUUUUAUAUACAUAAAAGAAAAAAUUAUUUUUGUACCUUGUGUAUCAGGGUUAAUUAAAUUUUAUAAGGAAUAUUUAUUUUCUCGAAUUUAAAAGAGCUAAGUUUGAAUAGAUUUAAUUGUGGAAUAAAUUUUUUUAAUUUGAAUUUAGUAGUGAAAUGUUAUUCGUUUUUAAUAUAUCUAGUUAUUAAAGAAAAAAGUUUAAUUUGUUAAUUAUAAAUUAUUUAAUUGUUUAAUUAAUUAGAUUGUUGUAAUUGGUUAUUUGAAAGGGGAUGAGCUUUUUUUAAGAUAUUUAAAAAUUUUAGAGAUAAUGGAAAAGUAUAGGGUUAGAAGUGCUUAUUAAUAAUAAAGUGUUAUAAUUAGUUUUGCUAAAAAUAUUAUUUUUAUUUAUUUUAAAUGAUUUAUUUAAUAGAAUAGGGAAAUAUUAAAUUUAUUGUUAUAAUGAUUAAAUUAGUAUUAUUGAGUUUGUAAAAUAAUUUUUUAGGGGAGGUUAUUUUAAGGAAUUCGGCAAAUAUUUUUUUCACCUGUUUAUUAAAAACAUGGCCUUUUGAUAAUAAUUUAAGGUCUAGCCUGCCCACUGAGGAUUUAAAUGGCCGCGGUAUUUUGACCGUGCUAAGGUAGCAUAAUCAUUAGUUUUUUAAUUGAAAGCUGGAAUGAAGGGUUGAAUGAGAAAAAUUCUGUCUCUAAAUUAUUUUGUAAGAAUUUUAUUUUUAAGUAAAAAAGCUUAAAUGUUUUUAAAAGACGAGAAGACCCUAUAGAGUUUUAUAUAAUAUUUAAAUUUAUCAUUUAGAAAUAUUAUUUAAAUAUGAAUUUUAUAUUUGAUUGGGGUGAUUGAAAAAUUUAAUAAACUUUUUUUAUAUAAAACCAUUGAUUUAUGAAAAUUUGAUCCAUUGAUAAUGAUUAAAAGAAAAAAUUACCUUAGGGAUAACAGCGUAAUUUUUUUUGAGAGUUCUAAUCGAAAGAAAAGAUUGCGACCUCGAUGUUGGAUUAAAAUUAAUUUUUGGUGUAGAGGCUAAGAAUUUUAGGUCUGUUCGACCUUUAAAAUUUUACAUGAUCUGAGUUUAAACCGGUGUGAGCCAGGUUGGUUUCUAUCUUUAAAUAAUUUUUAUAUUUUAGUACGAAAGGACCAAGUAUAAAAUAAAUUAUUAAUUUUAUGAAUAAUCGU